UUUAACGCGAAGGACCUUACCAAAUCUUGACAUCCUUUGACAACUCUAGAGAUAGAGCUUUCCCCUUCGGGGGACAAAGUGACAGGUGGUGCAUGGUUGUCGUCAGCUCGUGUCGUGAGAUGUUGGGUUAAGUCCCGCAACGAGCGCAACCCUUAUCUUUAGUUGCCAUCAUUAAGUUGGGCACUCUAGAGAGACUGCCGGUGACAAACCGGAGGAAGGUGGGGAUGACGUCAAAUCAUCAUGCCCCUUAUGAUUUGGGCUACACACGUGCUACAAUGGAUGGUACAAAGGGCAGCAAAACCGCGAGGUCAAGCAAAUCCCAUAAAACCAUUCUCAGUUCGGAUUGUAGUCUGCAACUCGACUACAUGAAGCUGGAAUCGCUAGUAAUCGUAGAUCAGCAGCUUUAAUUAA
rnacentral:rRNA from 1 species